rnacentral:lncRNA from 1 species
GGCUGACUCUCUUUUCGGACUCAGCCCGCCUGCACCCAGGUGAAAUAAACAGCCUUGUUGCUCACACAAAGCCUGUUUGGUGGUCUCUUCACACAAACGCGCAUGAAAUUUGGUGCCAUGACUCGGAUCGGGGUACCUCCCUUGGGAGAUCAAUCCCCAGUCCUCCUGCUCUUUGCUCCGUGAGAAAGAUCUACCUAGGACCUCAGGUCCUCAGACUGACCAGCCCAAGGAACAUCUCACCAAUUUCAAAUCUGAGCUGCAUCUUGUCCCACUGGAUGGUCUUCAGAGACAAUAAUACAUAAUGGAGCUGUCAUCUCCUAUGAUAACAAUGCCUUCUUCUGGAUACCUCCUGAAGGACCUGCCUGAGGCUCUUUCACUCUCACAGCACAGUCCAUCAAUCUUACAAGCAGUUCUAAUAGUUCCUGGAUUUGGAAUUUGAUGCAGAGCUUGAUGCAGGCUUUGUAUGAACAGAUGCUUAUAUAAAAGCUAAAAUAGAUGCAGCAAGAAGGCCCUCAACAGACACCAGAUGCCAGCAUCCUGAUUCUGGACUUCUAGCCUCCAGAACUAUCAAAUCAGGCAGCUGUCAUACUUACUAACUCAUGCAACAGAUUAUAAACCAAGCCAACAAUAAAAUGACAGGAAAUCAACCUAAAAUUGUAGACAAUAUGGACAUAAUAAUUUUGUGUCCUUGAACACUGACAUUCAUUUUUUAAGGACCUGAGUUCAAAAUGUUUCUUGCCAGUUGAUCUUUGUCUUAGAAAAUUUCAGCAAAAUGUUCUGGUGGAGGAAGGUUUUUUGGUGUGGAACAACAGACAUAAACUAUGGAAAUGCACAGAAGUAAAGGCAUUUUUCAGAGAACCAAAGUUAGUGGUACUAUCAAACCAAUGAGCCAAGAAGAAUACCUACUAGGCAUUUUUACCUGCUUCUCUCACCACUCAUUAAAAAAAAAAAUGACCAAA